rnacentral:rRNA from 1 species
GGAUGGGCACUCUAGGGGGACUGCCAGGGAGAACCUGGAGGAAGGUGGGGAUGACGUCAAAUCAUCAUGCCCCUUAUGACUUGGGCUACACACGUGCUACAAUGGCGUAAACAAAGGGAAGCGAGAGGGUGACCUUAAGCAAAUCCCAAAAAUAACGUCCCAGUUCGGAUUGCAGUCUGCAACUCGACUGCAUGAAGCCGGAAUCGCUAGUAAUCGCGGAUCAGAAUGCCGCGGUGAAUACGUUCCCGGGUCUUGUACACACCGCCCGUCACACCAUGGGAGUUGGCAACGCCCGAAGUCAGUGACCCAACCGCAAGGAGGGAGCUGCCGAAGGCGGGGCUGAUAACUGGGGUGAAGUCGUAACAAGGUAGCCGUAUCGGAAGGUGCGGCUGGAUCACCUCCUUUCUAAGGAA